UCUGGUUGAUCCUGGCGGAGGCCACUGCUAUCGGGGUUCGAUUAAGCCAUGCGAGUCGAGAGGUGCAAGACCUCGGCAUACUGCUCAGUAACACGUGGACAACCUACCCUAAGGAGGGGGAUAACCCCGGAAAACUGGGGAUAAUACCCCAUAGACUACAGAAGCUGGAAUGCUCUGUAAUUGAAAGGUCCGCCGCCUUAGGAUGGGUCUGCGGCUGAUUAGGUUGUUGUUGGGGUAACGGCCCAACAAGCCUGUAAUCAGUACGGGUUGUGGGAGCAAGAACCCGGAGAUGGAUUCUGAGACACGAAUCCAGGCCCUACGGGGCGCAGCAGGCGCGAAAACUUUACAAUGCGGGAAACCGUGAUAAGGGAACCCCGAGUGCCCGUAAAUUCGGGCUGUUAACCUGUUUAAAAAGCAGGUGGAGAAAGGGCCGGGCAAGACCGGUGCCAGCCGCCGCGGUAAUACCGGCGGCUCGAGUGGUGGCCACUAUUACUGGGCUUAAAGCGUCCGUAGCUGGAUUGUUAAGUCUCUUGGGAAAUCUACCGGCUUAACCGAUAGGCGUUCAAGGGAUACUGGCAAUCUAGAGACCGGGAGAGGUGAGAGGUACUCCAGGGGUAGGAGUGAAAUCCUGUAAUCCUUGGGGGACCACCUGUGGCGAAGGCGUCUCACCAGAACGGCUCCGACAGUGAGGGACGAAAGCUGGGGGAGCAAACCGGAUUAGAUACCCGGGUAGUCCCAGCUGUAAACGAUGCGCGUUAGGUGUAUCGGUGACCACGAGUCACCGAGGUGCCGAAGAGAAAUCGUGAAACGUGCCGCCUGGGAUGUACGGUCGCAAGGCUGAAACUUAAAGGAAUUGGCGGGGGAGCACCACAACGGGUGGAGCCUGCGGUUUAAUCGGACUCAACGCCGGAAAGCUCACCAGAUAAGACAGCGGAAUGAUAGCCGGGCUGAAGACUCUGCUUGACUAGCUGAGAGGAGGUGCAUGGCCGUCGUCAGUUCGUACUGUGAAGCAUCCUGUUAAGUCAGGCAACGAGCGAGACCCA
rnacentral:rRNA from 1 species